rnacentral:rRNA from 1 species
AUUGAACGCUGGCGGCAUGCCUAACACAUGCAAGUCGAACGAGUGGCGGACGGGUGAGUAAUGUCUGGGAAACUGCCUGAUAGAGGGGGAUAACUACUGGAAACGGUAGCUAAUACCGCAUACCAUCGGAUGUGCCCAGAUGGGAUUAGCUAGUAGGUGGGGUAAAGGCUCACCUAGGCGACGAUCCCUAGCUGGUCUGAGAGGAUGACCAGCCACACUGGAACUGAGACACGGUCCAGACUCCUACGGGAGGCAGCAGUGGGGAAUAUUGCACAAUGGGCGCAAGCCUGAUGCAGCCAUGCCGCGUGUAUGAAGAAGGCCUUCGGGUUGUAAAGUACUUUUAGCGGGGAGGCGUUACCCGCAGAAGAAGCACCGGCUAACUCCGUGCCAGCAGCCGCGGUAAUAC